AUGCAACUCAUCACAGCCGUGGCUUUUCUCAUCCACAGAUUCCGCAUAGCACUUCCGCAGCCUCGCUCCAUCAUCGGCGGCCGGUGCUGCUACUGCCCCGCUGUUGCAAAGUGGUCCAUCCAUGACGCUCUCUUGUCGCUCCACUGCAGCGCCGGCGGCCCAACUAUGCUCCGUCGCAGCUCCGACGACCUCGACGAUGCUCCAUUGAAACCUCAUCGCAGCACGCACGACGCGAGGGUGCUCCGUCGCAGCUCCAUAGCAAUACCAAAACGGACCCCCGACGAGGCUCCAUUGCGCUCCAGCGCAGCACCACGCGACCCGGCGUGCUCCAUCGCAGCACCCCGCCGGCCAUCACAACUUCAUCGCAACGCUAGUGCUGCGGGCUAG
rnacentral:rRNA from 1 species